AUGAGAUGCUUGCUCUGCAUCUGUCCUUGCCUUAAGUGGGACCAUUGGAAAGAAGCACUUCGCCAACGUUAUCCGAGGUAUCCAGAAUCUCCCAGGAAGAGAGGUUGUGGUGAGGUGAGAGUUGGCCUCUUCUCCCAUGUAACUAGUGAUAGAACUAGAGGGAAUGGCCUCAAGUUGCACCAAGCAAGAUUCAGGUUAUCAAACCUUAUCAAACAUUAUCAAACACUUCUUCAAGAGACAGUGGUCAGGCGCUGGAAUGGGCUGCCCAGGGUGGUGAUGGAGUCACCGUCCCUGAAGGUGUUCAAGAAACAUCUGGAUGCUGUACUGAGGGACAUGGUUUGGAGAGAAAUAUUGGUGAUAGGUGGAUGGUUGGUCUGGAUGACCUUGGAGGUCUUUUCCAACCUUGGUGACUCUAUUCUGUGACUCUGUACCUCAUCCAAAAGAAAAAAUGGCAAAUGGCAAUAUAUAGCUGUUGCACUGGAUCUUACUGCUGGCAAACAAGUAAUAGAGGAAGGUGAAGGCAGUGCACAAAUAGGAGAAAUACGAGCAGUUGCCCUAGAACCACAAAAUGGAGCAAAAAUCAUGUAUGUAGAUUCUUACACUGUGUGGGCUGGUGCCACACAGCGGCUCUGUCAAUGGGAAGCCCUGAAUUGGGAAGUAAAUGGAUCCCCAGUUUGGAGGGAAAAGGAUUGGCAAUUUUUAGUAGACAUAGCCAGGAAAACACCUUUUAAGAUGGGAUGGGUAAAAGCCCAUGCUAAGGAUAAUCAGCCAGCCACAAAAUGGAAUCAAAGAGUGGAUGAGGUAACUAAAAUUAGGAAAAUCCUGACUGGUAUCGGUUGGGAGAACGGUUACAUCAGAUCUUAGGUCAUAUAGGCAAGAAAGCACUUUAUUUUGCUGCACAGAGCAAAGGCUUGACCCUGUCAACUGUUAUCACGCGCGGAACUGAAAUAAACUUAGAAAAUGAAUGGAGUUGGGAUAGUAC
rnacentral:lncRNA from 1 species